GAUAAACGCUGGCGGCGUGCCUAAUACAUGCAAGUCGUGCGGAAAGGCCUCUUCGGAGGUACUCGAGCGGCGGACGGCUGAGUAACGCGUAGGAAUGUACCCCAAAGUGAGGGAUAACUGCUCGAAAGGGUAGCUAAUACCGCAUGUGAUCCACGGAUUAAAGCGCUUGCGUGCUUUGGGAACAGCCUGCGUAUGUAUUAGUUAGUUGGUGAGGUAAUGGCUCACCAAGACGAUGAUCAUUAGCUGGUCUGAGAGGAUGAUCAGCCAGACUGGGACUGGGAACGGCCCAGACUCCUACGGGAGGCAGCAGUGGGGAAUUUUGGACAAUGGGCGAAAGCCUGAUCCAGCAAUGCCGCGUGUGUGAAGAAGGCCUUCGGGUUGUAAAGCACUUUUGUCCGGAAAGAAAUGGCUCUGGUUAAUACCUGGGGUCGAUGACGGUACCGGAAGAAUAAGGACCGGCUAACUACGUGCCAGCCGCCGCCGUAA
rnacentral:rRNA from 1 species